UACGAAGGGGGCUAGCGUUGCUCGGAAUUACUGGGCGUAAAGGGCGCGUAGGCGGACAGUUUAGUCAGAGGUGAAAGCCCAGGGCUCAACCUUGGAAUUGCCUUUGAUACUGGCUGUCUUGAGUUCGGGAGAGGUGAGUGGAAUGCCGAGUGUAGAGGUGAAAUUCGUAGAUAUUCGGCGGAACACCAGUGGCGAAGGCGACUCACUGGCCCGAUACUGACGCUGAUGCGCGAAAGCCAGGGGAGCGAACGGG
rnacentral:rRNA from 1 species